rnacentral:lncRNA from 1 species
CGUUGCUUAUCAAAUGCAUCCCACAAGUACCAUUACCACAAUUCAGCAAACUUGAAUAUCCAUGGCUGGGAUCAGCAUUAUUGUUCCCCGUCAAUUGGUAAUGAUGAUCCAAGGAAGUGUUUUCAAUGCAUACAUUUUCUUUGUUGCUGAUGAUCUGUGUACUGCCCCCGCUGUUCGUUUCUUCCACACCAGAAGAAGGAGCUGCAACAGUUGAAUUAUUAUUAUUACUCAUAAGGCCUGAUGUUUUGCGAUUGGCUUUAGAUGAAGAAGCUUUUUGAUGAUCAAAAGAUUCAAGGUUAAGCGGCUUGUGGGUUCUUGGAUCAAUUCCUUGGCUUAUCAGCUUCUUGCUGAGGUGAGUGUUCCAGUAAUUCUUGAUCUCAUUAUCUGUACGCCCUGGAAUUCUCCCAGCUAUCAGUGACCACCUAGAUCAUACAAACAUAAAAUAUCAGUGCAAACUAAGUCAUAUUAGACAUUUCGAACGAAAAUUAUGCAUUAUCAAAUCCAGAAGAAUGCUAAGUAGUUAAGUUCUUGAGCUUCAUAUCAUAGGAAAAACCCAGAUACAUUGUUUACUAGAGAAGAUUAGUUUUAGCUAAACUGGAAAGAAACCCAGAUCGUUCCUGACCUAGGUUUCUCUAGUGAGAUAGAGAUCACGAAGAUUAAACCCUGGAAGAAAAGGAAAACCAGCACUAGAACUCACUGGACUGAGCUGAUGUAAUGACAAAAUGCAAAAAACCAAACCCUAAAAGCCCAACACAGAAAAUCUAAAACAAAGCCAGAUACAAAGACAAAGUAAUCCAAACAUAAUUUUUAUUCAUUCAUUCACAUAUAUAUACCUAUUUCCUAGAAGGCGAUGCAGUCGAAGAAUGAGAUCUUCUUCAUCAGGAGCGAUCUGGCCGCGUUUUACACAGGGACGCAGGUAGUUCAUCCAUCGGAGACGGCAACUCUUACCACAGCGGAGAAGUCCAGCUCUUUUAGGCAAGGUACGCCAGCGACCUUCCCCUUCUUUUUUGAUGUAGUUGACAAGAAGCUCAUCCUCUUCAGGUGUCCAUGGCCCUCUCUUUAACCCUACCUUGCUGCAACACGGCGUCUUCGCUGGUUGUGGUCCUUCUCCUGCAGACGCAGAGGGUGAUGGGUUUCUCAUCUUAUUCUUCUUCUUCUUUCUCUGGACUAUGAAUUCAAACAAAUCUAUAUAUGUUUCGCUGGUGAAUGAGAUUGAGAUUUGAUCUUUUUAUGGCUUUUGGAGAAAAGAUGUUCGAUGAAGAGAUGGUUCAAUUUUUUAAGGGCUUCUCGCACCUUUUGUUUUUUUUGUAAUAAAAGAUUAUUGUUCAGAUAUAUGCCCACGAGCAGUAACAGGGAAUGAAGAACACGCGCCUAAAAAGUUUGGUGGCCAUUUUUGAUGGGCUAGUGACUUUAUCCAAAUGACCAGCUUGUCACUUGAAUGGCUCUGUGCUUAAUCUGAAUCGUCACCAUGAGCGUCAUCUUCAUUGUCGUCUGCCAGCGGGGAGACACGGUGUUCCGUGUUAAUUAAAGACCAAAGCAAACAUUUCCUUUUUAUGACAAUUUAAUAAAAUAUAUAUUAAAUUAUAAAUUUUGUGAAAUUUUAUUUAUAUUUUAAUAAUGCCUAUAUGAUAUAUUAUUAUCAAAUUUUAAUUCAAUAACUGUAAUUGUAUUUAAGAUUGUGUUUAAAUUUAAAAAUAUUACUGCUAUUCAGUGAAAA